GUGAGGAAUUUUCCGCAAUGGGCGAAAGCCUGACGGAGCAAUGUCGCGUGAAGGAUGAAGGCCUAUGGGUUGUAAACUUCUUUUCUCAGAAAAGAAUUAUGACGGUAUCUGAGGAAUAAGCAUCGGCUAACUCUGUGCCAGCAGCCGCGGUAAGACAGAGGAUGCAAGCGUUAUCCGGAAUGAUUGGGCGUAAAGCGUCUGUAGGUUGUUUAAAAAGUAUUCUGUCAAAGAUUAGGGCUUAACCCUAGAUAGGCAGAAUAAACUUUUAAGCUAGAGUUUGGUAGAGGCAGAGGGAAUUCCCGGUGGAGCGGUGAAAUGCGUAGAUAUCGGGAGGAACACCAAAGGCGAAGGCACUCUGCUGGGCCAAUACUAACACUGAGAGACGAAAGCGAGGGGAGCAAAUGGGAUUAGAUACCCGGGUAGUCC
rnacentral:rRNA from 1 species